rnacentral:rRNA from 1 species
GACGUAGGGUCCAAGCGUUGUCCGGAUUUACUGGGCGUAAAGAGCGCGUAGGCGGUCCGUUAAGUGUAGAGUGAAAGCUCCGGGCUCAACCCGGAAAUUGCUCUGCAUACUGGCGGACUUGAGGAUGGAAGAGGUUUGUGGAAUUCCUGGUGUAGCGGUGAAAUGCGUAGAUAUCAGGAGGAACACCAACGGCGAAAGCACUCUGCUGGGCCGACACUGACACUGAGAGACGAAAGCUAGGGGAGCGAAUGGG